AAAGUGCACUGAUAGAAUUUAGCAUAAACCUGCAAUGCUUUUUUUUAGUCCUAUCUACCAUGUCUCUGUUAGUUCAGCUGGUGUUUCUUUGGCCCACUCUCACCUCUGGCCCGACCGCCCUCACCCUUCACAAUCCAUCCUGACCCAUGCAGACUCUCUGUACACCCACUUUACACAAGUCAAGGCAGCCAACUUCAGGCUAAUGACUCUGAGAGUAGCCUUCCCGUCCGCAGCUGUUGUAUCUACUGAACACAGGUUGAGGUCAAGAGAACGAAUAUUACUUCAAAAUGAUGGACAUGACAGUCUUGGAAACAAAAGCAAUAUGGAUGGAAACUAAAACAUACUCUUUCCCCCCAUCAUCUGGUAACUAGUCUCUCCAUUUUCCUCAUUAAAUACACUUUAUACUGCUUGUCUCUUGUAUGAUACUGUAUAACUCUUUAAAAUAUUUUUGACACUCAAUAAAUCAAGUGAAACUGUAUCUAAAUGUAGGUCAACUUUUAGACGUGGUAAACAGAAAACCAGAAAUCCUCUCACAAAUUACACUAAUUUAGAACUGUUGAGCCUACAUUGAGACUCCCCCUAAAAAUACUUAGCUUUUUGCAAGAUUUGAGGAUGAAAAAACACAGAAAUCUGUCUUCAUUCAGUCCCACUCAAUUUAUUCCAGAAAUGAAACACUUUUAUGUCUUUACACGCAAAUGUGGGCCGUCGUGGGGCCUCUACCGAGAGAUCUCAGUGAGCAUCAGUGAGCAUGUGUGUCCUAUUUGGGUCUUACAGUAACAUGCCAUCUGUAUUUGUGCUUGUAAUAGUGUGAUUAAUACCGGGGAGGUACAUCACACACUCUGGCUCUGGGUUUUAGGCCGGACUAUCAGCAUGCAGCUCCGACUUUCAUGUGUAGAUCAGCAAAUUGAACCCAAAUGCUGUAAUGAUGUACUUUUGAAAUAAUUCCUUAUCUUUCAUAAGCAGUUACUGUCUGAAAACAAUGAGGAUAUUCCUGCAGGCUGCUGAAUAUGAUUGUGAAUAUUCAGCAGAAGCGGAUCUGUGCCGUAUCUGUCAGCAUAUUCUGAGAUAAUCGAUAUGACUAGUAUCUUGGAUAAGUGUUGGUGAAAAGGGCAACCUGGGGGUCUGCAAUUAUUUAUUUGCUUGUUCAUAGGUCACAAUCUCUUCAUUGACUCUUUCAGAUGAUGAUGGACAUUGCCAAGGAGGGGUCACUGGCUUAGGCAAUACGCAGUGAAAGGAUCAUUGUCUUACUGUAUGCAGGCUAGUGUUUAUUGAUGUCUGUUUUUAAUGUCAAGGAAUAUUUAAAAUUUGGAUGGGUUUUUGGCCACCCUUCAGCAUUUCACUUUAGCACUUAUAAAGCUUUAAAUUGGCCAAAAAAUAAAAAAAGAUUUGUUCAGACAGUCGGCAGAUUUUUUAGACUA